rnacentral:rRNA from 1 species
AGUGAACGCUGGCGGUAGGCCUAACACAUGCAAGUCGAACGGCAGCACAGUAAGAGCUUGCUCUUACGGGUGGCGAGUGGCGGACGGGUGAGGAAUACAUCGGAAUCUACUUUUUCGUGGGGGGUAACGUAGGGAAACUUACGCUAAUACCGCAUACGACCUACGGGUGAAAGCAGGGGAUCUUCGGACCUUGCGCGAUUGAAUGAGCCGAUGUCGGAUUAGCUAGUUGGCGGGGUAAAGGCCCACCAAGGCGACGAUCCGUAGCUGGUCUGAGAGGAUGAUCAGCCACACUGGAACUGAGACCCGGUCCAGACUCCUACGGGAGGCAGCAGUGGGGAAUAUUGGACAAUGGGCGCAAGCCUGAUCCAGCCAUACCGCGUGGGUGAAGAAGGCCUUCGGGUUGUAAAGCCCUUUUGUUGGGAAAGAAAAGCAGCAGGUUAAUACCCCGCUGUUCUGACGGUACCCAAAGAAUAAGCACCGGCUAACUUCGUG